rnacentral:lncRNA from 1 species
CUGGGCUCGAUGACUGGGAAGCUAUGGCCAGUGAUGAGGAGAGAGAAAAAGAAGUAGAAGAAAACCCUGAGGAAGAGGAGGAGGAAGAAGAGGAUGAAGAUGAAGAAGACAGUGAAGAUGAGGAAGACGAAGGGGACAGUGAGGGCAGCGAUGGGGACGAGGAGGACUACAAGCUAUCGGACGAGAAGGACUUGGGGAAAGCUGGAGACACGAAGCCCAACAAAGACGCUAGCUCAGACUCCGAGUAUGACUCUGAUGACGAUCGGACUAAAGAAGAGCGGGCGUACGACAAAGCAAAACGGAGAAUUGAGAAACGACGACUUGAACAUGGUAAAAAUGUAAAUACAGAAAAGCUAAGAGCCCCUAUCAUCUGUGUGCUUGGACAUGUAGACACAGGGAAGACAAAAAUUCUAGAUAAGCUCCGCCACACUCAUGUACAAGAUGGUGAAGCAGGUGGCAUCACACAGCAGAUUGGUGCCACAAAUGUUCCUCUCGAAGCUAUUAAUGAACAAACUAAAAUGAUUAAAAAUUUUGACAGAGAGAAUGUCCGCAUUCCAGGGAUGCUGAUUAUUGACACUCCUGGACAUGAGUCUUUCAGUAACCUGAGAAACAGAGGAAGCUCUCUCUGUGAUAUUGCCAUUUUAGUUGUUGACAUUAUGCAUGGUUUAGA